AUUGAACGCUGGCGGCAGGCCUAACACAUGCAAGUCGAGCGGAUGAAGGGAGCUUGCUCCUGGAUUCAGCGGCGGACGGGUGAGUAAUGCCUAGGAAUCUGCCUGGUAGUGGGGGAUAACGUCCGGAAACGGGCGCUAAUACCGCAUACGUCCUGAGGGAGAAAGUGGGGGAUCUUCGGACCUCACGCUAUCAGAUGAGCCUAGGUCGGAUUAGCUAUUUGGUGGGUUAAAGGCCUACCAAGGCGACGAUCCGUAACUGGUCUGAGAGGAUGAUCAGUCACACUGGAACGGAGAAACGGUCCAGACUCCUACGGGAGGCAGCAGUGGGGAAUAUUGGACAAUGGGCGAAAGCCUGAUCCAGCCAUGCCGCGUGUGUGAAGAAGGUCUUCGGAUUGUAAAGCACUUUAAGUUGGGAGGAAGGGCAGUAAGUUAAUACCUUGCUGUUUUGACGUUACCAACAGAAUAAGCACCGGCUAACUUCGUG
rnacentral:rRNA from 1 species